rnacentral:rRNA from 1 species
GAAAUCUGGCUCUUUUAGGGUCCGAGUUGUAAUUUGCAGAGGGUGCUUUGGCGUUGGCAGCGGUCCAAGUUCCUUGGAACAGGACGUCACAGAGGGUGAGAAUCCCGUACGUGGUCGCUAACCUCCGCCGUGUAAAGCCCCUUCGACGAGUCGAGUUGUUUGGGAAUGCAGCUCUAAAUGGGAGGUAAAUUUCUUCUAAAGCUAAAUACUGGCCAGAGACCGAUAGCGCACAAGUAGAGUGAUCGAAAGAUGAAAAGCACUUUGGAAAGAGAGUCAAAUAGCACGUGAAAUUGUUGAAAGGGAAGCGCUUGCAGUCAGACCUGACUAUCGUUGCUCAUCUGGGCUUUUGCCCAGUGCACUCUUCUAUAGGCAGGCCAGCAUCAGUUUGGGCGGUUGGAUAAAGGUCUCUAUCACGUACCUCUCUUCGGGGAGGCCUUAUAGGGGAGACGUCAUACAACCAGCCUGGACUGAGGUCCGCGCAUCUGCUAGGAUGCUGGCGUAAUGGCUGUAAGCGGCCCGUCUUGAAACACGGACCAAGGAGUCUAACAUCUAUGCGAGUGUUUGGGUGUCAAGCCCGAACGCGUAAUGAAAGUGAACGGAGGUGGGAACCCUUUUGGGGUGCACCAUCGACCGAUCCUGAUGUCUUCGGAAGGAUUUGAGUAAGAGCAUGGCUGUUGGGACCCGAAAGAUGGUGAACUAUGCUUGAAUAGGGUGAAGCCAGAGGAAACUCUGGUGGAGGCUCGCAGCGGUUCUGACGUG